UAGACAUGCAAGUCGAACGGUAACAUUUCUAGCUUGCUAGAAGAUGACGAGUGGCGGACGGGUGAGUAAUGCUUGGGAAUUUGCCUUUAGGUGGGGGACAACAGUUGGAAACGACUGCUAAUACCGCAUGAUAGCUACGGCUCAAAGNNNNCUUCGGCUCCCGCCUUUAGAGAAGCCCAAGUGGGAUUAGGUAGUUGGUGAGGUAAAGGCUCACCAAGCCCACGAUCCCUAGCUGGUCUGAGAGGAUGAUCAGCCACAUUGGGACUGAGACACGGCCCAGACAUCUACGGAUGGCAGCAGUUAAGAAUAUUGGACAAUGGGGGCAACCCUGAUCCAGGUAUACCGCGUGUGUGAAGAAGGCCCUAGGGUUGUAAAGCACUUUAAUCAGAGAAGAAGCAUUUUAAGUUAAUACCUUAUUAUGUUGACGUUACCUGAAGAAUAAGGACCGGCUAACUCCGUGCCAGCAGCCGCGUAAUACGGGGUCAGCGUUAUCGAUUACUGGGCGUAAAGCGCCGCGUAGGCGUUUAGUAAGUUGUAUGUGAAAGCCCUGGGCUCAACCUAGGAACUGCAUCCAAAACUACUAAGCUAGAGUACGAGAGAGGAGAGUAGAAUUUCUGGUGUAGCGGUGAAAUGCGUAGAUAUCAGAAGGAAUACCAAUGGCGAAGGCAGCUCUCUGGCUCGUCACUGACGCUGAGGUGCGAAACGUGGGUAGCAAACAGGAUUAGAUACCCUGGUAGUCCACKCCGUAAACGAUGACAACUAGCCGUUGGGCAGAUUUAACUGUUCAGUGGCACAGCUAACGACUUAGUUGUCGC
rnacentral:rRNA from 1 species